rnacentral:rRNA from 2 species
AGAGUUUGAUCCUGGCUCAGGACGAACGCUGGCGGCGUGCUUAACACAUGCAAGUCGAACGGAAAGGCCUAGCUUGCUAGGUACUCGAGUGGCGAACGGGUGAGUAACACGUGGGUGAUCUGCCUCGUACUUCGGGAUAAGCCUGGGAAACUGGGUCUAAUACUGGAUAGGACCAUGCUUUAGUGUGUGUGGUGGAAAGUUUUUCGGUACGAGAUGAGCCCGCGGCCUAUCAGCUUGUUGGUGGGGUAAUGGCCUACCAAGGCGUCGACGGGUAGCCGGCCUGAGAGGGUGGACGGCCACAUUGGGACUGAGAUACGGCCCAGACUCCUACGGGAGGCAGCAGUGGGGAAUAUUGCACAAUGGGCGCAAGCCUGAUGCAGCGACGCCGCGUGGGGGAUGACGGCCUUCGGGUUGUAAACCUCUUUCGCUAGGGACGAAGCUUUUGUGACGGUACCUAGAUAAGAAGCACCGGCUAACUACGUGCCAGCAGCCGCGGUAAUACGUAGGGUGCGAGCGUUGUCCGGAAUUACUGGGCGUAAAGAGCUCGUAGGUGGUUUGUCGCGUCGUCUGUGAAAUUCCGGGGCUUAACUUCGGGCGUGCAGGCGAUACGGGCAUAACUUGAGUGCUGUAGGGGAGACUGGAAUUCCUGGUGUAGCGGUGGAAUGCGCAGAUAUCAGGAGGAACACCGAUGGCGAAGGCAGGUCUCUGGGCAGUAACUGACGCUGAGGAGCGAAAGCAUGGGGAGCGAACAGGAUUAGAUACCCUGGUAGUCCAUGCCGUAAACGGUGGGCGCUAGGUGUGAGGGUCUUCCACGACUUUCGUGCCGUAGCUAACGCAUUAAGCGCCCCGCCUGGGGAGUACGGCCGCAAGGCUAAAACUCAAAGGAAUUGACGGGGGCCCGCACAAGCGGCGGAGCAUGUGGAUUAAUUCGAUGCAACGCGAAGAACCUUACCUGGGCUUGACAUAUGCAGGAUCGGCGUAGUGAUACGUUUUCCCUUGUGGUCUGUAUACAGGUGGUGCAUGGUUGUCGUCAGCUCGUGUCGUGAGAUGUUGGGUUAAGUCCCGCAACGAGCGCAACCCUUGUCUUAUGUUGCCAGCACGUGAUGGUGGGGACUCAUGAGAGACUGCCGGGGUUAACUCGGAGGAAGGUGGGGAUGACGUCAAAUCAUCAUGCCCCUUAUGUCCAGGGCUUCACACAUGCUACAAUGGUCGGUACAACGCGCUGCGAGCCUGUGAGGGUGAGCGAAUCGCUGAAAGCCGGCCUCAGUUCGGAUUGGGGUCUGCAACUCGACCCCAUGAAGUCGGAGUCGCUAGUAAUCGCAGAUCAGCAACGCUGCGGUGAAUACGUUCCCGGGCCUUGUACACACCGCCCGUCACGUCAUGAAAGUUGGUAACACCCGAAGCCAGUGGCCUAACCCUUGUGGGGGGGAGCUGUCGAAGGUGGGAUCGGCGAUUGGGACGAAGUCGUAACAAGGUAGCCGUACCGGAAGGUGCGGCUG